ACGCUUGAAGUCAGUCGCGUUGGCCGGGGAUCAACCUUGCUUUUUUGCUUGGCGUACUUUCCGGUUAAUGGGUCAGCAUCAAUUUUGACCGGUGGAUAAAGGUUAGGGGAAUGUGGCAUCCUCGGAUGUGUUAUAGCCCUUGGUCGCAUACAUCGGUUGGGAUUGAGGAACUCAGCACGCCGCAAGGCCGGGUUUUUAACCACGUACGUGCUUAGGAUGCUGGCAUAAUGGCUUUAAUCGACCCGUCUUGAAACACGGACCAAGGAGUC
rnacentral:rRNA from 1 species